CCCUGCACAGGUAAAAGGAGUGACUCAUUUGGCAUUUCACAGGGUACUUCCUUGUUCAAAUUUGUUGUGUUUUAUUUCCAACAUUUUCUGGGGGUACUUCAAAUUGUAAUUUCCAAGAAACCUGCUUCUACUAUGGGAAGGCAAGCUGAUUUUAACUUUAUUAACUUUGUGUAGUUCUUCAUGAGUAUGCAAAACAUGACCUCAUAAUGUGGGAACAUUUAUAUAAAAACCUUUAAAUUAAAAAAAAAGCUUCUUUACUAUAUGAAACCCCCAUUCUUAGGUUCCCUUUAUUGUGUGCUACAGAAUUUUUCCUCUUUCUUUUCCCUAUGGAUCAUUUAUAUGGUUCUUGUUUUGGUACAAUUCCCCAUAAUAUUCCAGAAUGUACUGUUUUGUGAGCAGACAGAAUAGAUUUUUUUUUUUUUUUUUGCUUCUUCACAUCCAUUGCGGAGUUAUAAUUGGAGACAGAUUUCCACCCACAAAGGCUCCAGAUGUUAAAACGAUCCCCAACAUCGACAGUGAGGGCAACAUCUCCCUCCCACCCCUCCCAAUAGGGCUGGGAUUGUACUGUAUUCCUUACUGGUUUAUCCAUCCCCUCUGUCAAGGGUAACAUUUUCCCUUGGUACAGAGGCUCCCUCAUAGUCUCCAAGACUGGAGGACCCCUAAUUUUGGGACUGCAGCCUAAGUAUAUUAGAUUAAACACCAUAAAAAGCUGCAAGACGCUCUUUUAAAGGAAGAGGAAACUGGUCGGAGAAACGCCUCCAAUUUUCAUCCCCAACUUGAUUUUUAAAUCCAUGAAGGAUCUUACAGAACAUGUCUCUGAGAAUCUGUGGUGAUCCAUGAUGCAACAGCAUCACAAAAAAAAAUAAAAUCUUGGAUUACUCCACUGGGAUUCACACUGAUCAUGGUACAAGCCCCACAGAAUGCUGAAUCCUUUUCCUCUUUGUCUCUUAUGUUUCUCAGAGAGGUACACCAAGGUUUUAUAAACUGCUGUAGUAUGGGGGCCACCUCUUGAGGGCAAACAUAACCAAGAUGACCAAUUGUUAUUGCUGUAUUCUCUAACAAGGCCUUUGGUGCAUUGGGUCUGUUAAUGAUUUCUACAAGCUGGUGCAACACCAUAGGAAUAUAAGGCUGCAUCUCUAUACCCAUUUGAAUGAAAAUUUCUCCAAUUGCCCACGUGGCAUUGUUGCAGACUGAAAUGAACUCUGGAUUUAGAUUGGUUCCCGAUAUUUGCAUAAAAUCAGCUAUAAAAGGCUUAACAUGCUGAAAGCAAGCUUUAGUCAGGUCACCUAAUAGUGCAAAUGAACUCUGUCAAACUUCUGGCAUUUUAUCCUGCAUGCACUGAUACUUUAAUGUUAGGAUGUUACUUCAGGCUACUAGCUGUUCAAUGUUGCCUCCAAGUCUUUCAGCUAGGUCACUGAGUAAAUCAAGAGCUAUGAUCAUAAAAUCUUUAUCUGGAGCCUCAAAUUGAUCUGGUUGAGCAUUGUUUAGCAUAGCUUGUGGAAGAGUCUUCUGUACUAGGUUUACACAACACUGAUACACAGGUUCACAGUACGGAAGGAAGCCAGACUGCAGGGCUGUGGCAACUGAAGAUAGGCACUCAAGUGAAGGGAAGAGAUUUUUAUCUUCAUCCUUUAACAUGUUCCAUUUCUGGAUCAGUGGAGGCAUUAGCAUCUGAAUAUAUUCUGGUUUUGUUUAAUCUGCUAAUGUUCCUAUAGCAUCAUAAAGAAUGAGCAGGUUCUUAUGCUGGUAUUUACUAAAUGCAAAGCCAGGGUAUCAAGUAUAGAUGCAAGAUAAGGAACAAGUUCUGUACAAGCCUCCUCCUCUAGAGUAGCAAAGGCACUGAAGGCAGCUUCUUGUACUCUCUUGUUGUUAUCCAGGAUAUGCUUUAGCAACUCUGUCAUUAAUGGCUUUAGGUAUGUGUCUGGUGGUUGGCUGACUACCCAGUGUGUGUAGCGACUAAGAGUCCAGCAUGUUAUGGAAUGCACAAGAUCCUUUUUAUCAGAGAGGCACGAAUAAGGUGAAGAAUGAGCUCAGGCAGGUAUGGAAUCAUACCCCGCAUGCAACUUUCAGCAAUUGCUUCUAAGACCAAGAUGCCCAAUUCUUUAACAACCCAUUCAUGAUGAAAAAGUAAUUAUUUCAAAAGAGGCCAAAUAUGUGGCAAUAGCUCAUCACGAUAAACAUUUGCAAGAACAUCUAGGGCAGCAGCAGAACAUUUUCUUAGAUUUCAGUCAGAAAUUGUAUCAUCAUCAUCAUCAAUUUCAUCAUCAUCAUCAUCUUGCUCUUCUAUUCCAUCUUCAUCAUGCUGCUGAGCCACUGUCCUUGAUCUAUGAAAAUGUGGCCUUAUAUCUUGCUCACUAUCAGAAAUUGUUUCAUCCUCUUCAGCAUCACCCUUAAGCAGAAUAAUAUCUAUAUCUGAGUACUUCAUGCCAUUCACUAACAAAGGAAUCAACUUAGGAAGAUGCCUCACAAGCACAUCUUUGGAUAUUGGUUGCUUAGCCAAAGUGAGCCAAAAUUCACAAGCUUCCAAAGCCACAUUUUCAUCUUGAUCUUGGGUCCUUUGUAGCAUGUACUCAACUAUAUUAUGCAUGUGAGGAAGCAGGUGAUCCAUUUGAAUGUCAAGCAACAUCACAAGUGCUUGGCAUACAUUUUUCUGUACCUCUGGCUCUUCAUCACCAGCCAAUGCAAAGAUAUUCUCAGUAAAAGCAUCAAUAUGCAUCAUCAGGGCUUGAGUUCUGCUGAUGAUAAACUGAUUGACACAUGCAACAAAAUGAGACUUUAUUUUGGGACUAUUGUGCUUGAAGAAUUGUAAAAAUUUGAGAAUCAUGAUGUUGAGAGGGCGAUCUAAAACAUCACUAUCUAAAAUCUCAGCAGAAUCUACACAUAUUUUCUGAAGGGCACCAAAUUCUCCCUCUCAGGUGUUGUAAUCUUCAGAAUCCAACAGGCUACAGAGUUUUGGUAAGGGGUCAGGCCAGUUUUGCAAUUCUCCUUUGGAGGCAAUGGUUGUAAUCAAAAUAUCUACAAUGGCUCUGAUCAAGAGAGAGGAGUCACCCAUAUUAUUUAAACAUUCACUUUUAAUAAAGUCUGUUACACCAUUUGGGAAGUUCUGAAAAUGUGCUUUCACAUUAUUCUUCAAGAUGAGACCACUCAGUGAUCUUGUGGGUUCAUCUUCAAAUUUUAAUUUUAUAAGAACAAAAAUCAAGUAGUUGCUAAAAUCCAGAUACUGAUUGAGCUGUUCCAGUGUUUGUUGUACGGUCCUCUCAAUGGUGGUAUCCGGGGACUGGGACUCCUUCAGCAGCUGCAGGAUUUGCUGAAGCCCUUGCUCGUCAGGUUUUCACUCAUACUCCAUCUUGGUUUGCUGCCUGCAGUGCCCUGAAGGAAGCUUCAGACCUUGAAGGCCAGCGGAACUGCUCCCAGCCGCUUGGCCACCAACGUCUGCUCAGAGGUAUAAUUUUCUAUAUCAUCGUGGGUUAUAGCCAGUAAUUUGGCUGGAAUAUUAAGGACUUGAAAGAAUCAUGAUUGAAAAAAUGAUGAUGGAAAUCUUAGAGAAACGUAUGAGAAGUGGAACUAAUGAGUUGUACAAAAAUAUGAAGGUAUUUGUGUUUCAUUUGAAUGCUCACCAAAGAUUGACAUCAACA
rnacentral:lncRNA from 1 species